CCUACGGGAGGCAGCAGUGGGGGAUAUUGCGCAAUGGGGGAAACUCUGAUGCAGCAACGCCGCGUGAGUGAAGAAGUAUUUCGGUAUGUAAAGCUCUAUCAGCGGGGAAGAGAAAAGACGGUACCUGCCUGAGAAACCCCCGCUAACUACGGUCCAGCAGCCGCGGUAAUACGUAGGGGGCAAGCGUUAUCCGGAUUUUCUGGGUGUAAAGGGAGCGUAGACGGCAAUACAAGUCGGAAGUGAAAUACCCGGGCUCAACCUGGGAACUGCUUUGGAAACUGUAUGGCUGGAGUGCUGGAGAGGUAAGCGGAAUUCCUAGUGUAGCGGUGAAAUGCGUAGAUAUUAGGAGGAACACCAGUGGCGAAGGCGGAUUACUGGACAGUAACUGACGUUGAGGCUAGAAAGCGUGGGGAGCAAACAGGAUUAGAUACCCGUGUAGUC
rnacentral:rRNA from 1 species